GUGCUUGCUUUAGCAGCAUGUGUGCUAAAACUGGAAUGGCCAGGAUGAUUAGCACGGUCCUGCACAGGGUGACACACAAAUUGUAGAAGGUUUCCAAAUUAGG
rnacentral:snRNA from 1 species